rnacentral:rRNA from 1 species
GACGAACGCUGGCGGCGUGCUUAACACAUGCAAGUCGAACGGAAAGGCCCUGCUUUUGUGGGGUGCUCGAGUGGCGAACGGGUGAGUAACACGUGAGUAACCUGCCCUUGACUUUGGGAUAACUUCAGGAAACUGGGGCUAAUACCGGAUAGGAGCUCCUGCUGCAUGGUGGGGGGUGGAAAGUUUCGGCGGUUGGGGAUGGACUCGCGGCUUAUCAGCUUGUUGGUGGGGUAGUGGCUUACCAAGGCUUUGACGGGUAGCCGGCCUGAGAGGGUGACCGGGCACAUUGGGACUGAGAUACGGCCCAGACUCCUACGGGAGGCAGCAGUGGGGAAUAUUGCACAAUGGGCGGAAGCCUGAUGCAGCAGCGCCGCGUGCGGGAUGACGGCCUUCGGGUUGUAAACCGCUUUCGCCUGUGACGAAGCGUGAGUGACGGUAAUGGGUAAAGAAGCACCGGCUAACUACGUG